rnacentral:rRNA from 1 species
UCGGAAUUACUGGGCGUAAAGCGUGCGCAGGCGGUCUGUUAAGACCGAUGUGAAAUCCCCGGGCUUAACCUGGGAACUGCAUUGGUGACUGGCAGGCUUUGAGUGUGGCAGAGGGAGGUAGAAUUCCACGUGUAGCAGUGAAAUGCGUAGAGAUGUGGAGGAAUACCGAUGGCGAAGGCAGCCUCCUGGGCCAACACUGACGCUCAUGCACGAAAGCGUGGGGAGCAAACAGG